rnacentral:rRNA from 1 species
GACGAACGCUGGCGGCGUGCUUAACACAUGCAAGUCGAACGGAAAGGCCCUGCUUUUGUGGGGUGCUCGAGUGGCGAACGGGUGAGUAACACGUGAGUAACCUGCCCUUGACUUUGGGAUAACUUCAGGAAACUGGGGCUAAUACCGGAUAGGAGCUCCUGCUGCAUGGUGGGGGUUGGAAAGUUUCGGCGGUUGGGGAUGGACUCGCGGCUUAUCAGCUUGUUGGUGGGGUAGUGGCUUACCAAGGCUUUGACCGGUAGCCGGCCUGCGAGGGUGACCGGCCACGUUGGGACGGAGAUACGGCCCAGACUCCUACGGGGGGCAGCAGUGGGGAAGAUUGCACUAUGGGCGGAGGCCUGAUGCAGCAACGCCGCGUGCGGGAUGACGGCCUUCGGGUUGUAAACCGCUUUCGCCUGUGACGAAGCGUGAGUGACGGUAAUGGGUAAAGAAGCACCGGCUAACUACGUG